GGUGCGGUAAGUCACCUGUGAAACCUCUAGGCUCAACCUAGAGCCUGCAGGCGAAACUGCCGUGCUUGAGGGUGGGAGAGGGAUGUGGAAUUCCAGGUGUAGCGGUGAAAUGCGUAGAUAUCUGGAGGAACACCGGUGGCGAAGGCGGCAUCCUGGACCGGUAUUGACGCUGAGGCGCGAAAGCCAGGGGAGCAAACGGG
rnacentral:rRNA from 1 species